AAUAACUGGGAGCUGAAACAGGAAGCCCCAUGACACAGUUGAUCGAAAAUGACACAGACACAGAGAAAUCAGGAUGUCCUCCCAGCAGCACCUCUACCUGCUGCCUGCUGAUGGCAGCUAGAAGAAGAUCUCUCUGGAGUCACUGUUGGCAGGCCCACAGAUGAGAGCAUUGGGAUCUGUCCAUGUUCAUUCUGGUCACAGCUGAUAACCGGCCUAGAAAUCACCCUCAACUUUGAGCUGCAAUGGGAAAUUCCAACUCUCUCUGCCCCCGCCCCACAUAUACAGCACUGAUUUGAAGAUUCAAUACAUAAUGAUUUCUUAUGGGGCCUACUGGAUGCCUUGUUCUAGAGACAAGAUGGGAUAGCCUCUGCCCCUACCUCCCUGGCAUGUGUAGUCUACUUACAAGUAAGCUUGGCUCAAGAAGUGAAAAACUAUGUAUCUCAUGGAUGUUUCAUCCAGAUGUCCUGAUUUUCCAAAUGCAUUCUUCAAAUCCUGUGACUGGCACUCCAAUAUCCUCUGAAAUGGUUAAAUGGCCAGUCAUCCCUUUUACAGAGUCCUCAUCUCAUCCCCAACUGCUGAGAGAGACUGAAAUGAAGAUUGACGCCAGAUGUUGUUGCUGUGACAAACUGUUAGGCUGAAGGACCCCAGGGAGACACCGUUCAGGUUCACAGGGAAUGUGCCCUUUACCUAUUGCCACAUGCAGCAGAGAAUAUGGAAGAGGCAUGCCAUAAGAACAGUCCUGGAGCAGUUCUAUUGGUACCUGGACUAUUGGUACUUCCUGGGGUGUGAUACCUGGACCAGUGCGGCUUCUCAGGGGAUGGGACCUGGGACAGCAGAAUUUCUUAAAGGAAGAUAACUGGAUAAGUAGGUCUUCUUAACCAGUGGGACUCCUCAACCUAGAAUAAUAAUAGCGUCACCUGGUAACUUAUUAUUAUUAUUAUUAUUAUUGCUGUUGUUAUUAUUACUUCUUUUGUUUUUUGAGAUUAUAAUAAAAUAAUAUCAUUUCUCCCUCCA
rnacentral:lncRNA from 1 species